UACAGAGGGUGCAAACGUUGCUCGGAAUUACUGGGCGUAAAGGGCUCGUAGGCGGUCAACUAAGUCAGACGUGAAAUCCCUCGGCUUAACCGGGGAACUGCGUCUGAUACUGGAUGGCUUGAGUUUGGGAGAGGGAUGCGGAAUUCCAGGUGUAGCGGUGAAAUGCGUAGAUAUCUGGAGGAACACCGGUGGCGAAGGCGGCAUCCUGGACCGGCAUUGACGCUGAGGCGCGAAAGCCAGGGGAGCAAACGGG
rnacentral:rRNA from 1 species